rnacentral:tRNA from 1 species
UGCCUUUGUAGCUUAAUAGCAGAGCGUUGGUUCCAAAGAUGUAGGUGCAAUUCCUGCCAAGGCAA